rnacentral:rRNA from 1 species
GACGAACGCUGGCGGCGUGCUUAACACAUGCAAGUCGAACGGAAAGGCCCUGCUUUUGUGGGGUGCUCGAGUGGCGAACGGGUGAGGAACACGUGAGUAACCUGACCUUGACUUUGGGAUAACUUCAGGAAACUGGGGCUAAUACAGGAUAGGAGCUCCUGCAGGAUGGAGGGGGUUGGAAAGUUUCUGCGGUUGGGGAUGGACGCGCGGCUUAUCAGCUUGUUGGUGGGGGAGUGGCUUACCAAGGCAUUGACGGGUAGCCGGCCUGAGAGGGUGACCGGCCUCAUUGGUACUGAGAUACGGCCCAGACUCCUACGGGAGACAGCAGUGGGGAGUCUUACACAAUGGUCGGAAGCCUGAUGCAGCAACGCCGCGUGCGUGAUGACGGCCUUCGGGUUGUAAACCGCUUUCGCCUGUUACGAAGCGUGAGUGACGGUAAUGGGUAAAGAAGCACCGGCUAACUACGUG